rnacentral:rRNA from 1 species
UACGUAGGGUGCAAGCGUUAAUCGGAAUACUGGGCGUAAAGCGUGCGCAGGCGGUUAUGCAAGACAGAUGUGAAAUCCCCGGGCUUAACCUGGGAACUGCAUUUGUGACUGCAUAGCUGGAGUACGGCAGAGGGGGAUGGAAUUCCGCGUGUAGCAGUGAAAUGCGUAGAUAUGCGGAGGAACACCGAUGGCGAAGGCAGUCCCCUGGGCCUGUACUGACGCUCAUGCACGAAAGCGUGGGGAGCAAACAGG